AGAGUUUGCUCCUUUNAANCAGAACGAACGCUGGCGGCAGGCCUCAAACAUGCNAGUCUAGGGGGUGUAGCAAUACAUCACCGGCGGACGGGUGCGUAACACGUGGGAAUAUACCUUUUGGUUCGGAACAACGCAGGGAAACUUGCGCUAAUACCGAAUGUGCCCUUACGGGGAAAGAUUUAUCGCCAAAGGAUUAGCCCGCGUCCGAUUAGCUAGUUGGUGAGGUAAUGGCUCACCAAGGCUCCGAUCGGUAGCUGUUCUGAGAGGAAGAUCAGCCACACUGGGACUGAGACACGGCCCAGACUCCUACGGGAGGCAGCAGUUGGGAAUCUUGGACAAUGGGGGAAACCCUGAUCCAGCCAUGCCGCGUGAGUGAUGAAGGCCUUCGGGUUGUAAAACUCUUUCGACGGGGACGAUAAUGACGGUACCCGUAGAAGAAGCUCCGGCUAACUUCGUGCCAGCAGCCGCGGUAAUACGAAGGGGGCUAGCGUUGUUCGGAAUUACUGGGCGUAAAGCGCGCGCAGGUGGUCUUUCAAGUCAGUGGUGAAAGCCCGGAGCUCAACUCCGGAAAUGCCAUUGAAACUGUGAGACUUGAGGACGAGAGAGGUGAGUGGAAUUCCCAGUGUAGAGGUGAAAUUCGUAGAUAUUGGGAAGAACACCGGUGGCGAAGGCGGCUCACUGGCUCGUAUCUGACGCUCAGGCGCGACAGCGUGGGGAUCAAACAGGAUUAGAUACCCUGGUAGUCCACGC
rnacentral:rRNA from 1 species